CUGGGCUUAAGCGUGUGUAGGCGGGCGCCUAAGUGUCUUGUGAAAUCCCCCGGCUCACCCGGGGAACGGCUGGGCAUACUGGGCGCCUUGGGCCGACCAGGGGCAACUGGAACAAGCGGUGGAGCGGUGAAAUGCGUAGAUAUCGCUUGGAACGCCGAAGGUGAAAACAGGUUGCUGGGGUCGCGCCGACGCUGAGACACGAAAGCCAGGGGAGCAAACGGGAUUAGAUACCCCGGUAGUCCUGGCCCUAAACGAUGUCCACUAGAUCGCGGUGGGUUUGACCCCUUCGCGGUCGGAGCAAAAGUGUUAAGUGGACCGCCUGGGAAGUACGGUCGCAAGGCUAAAACUCAAAGGAAUUGACGGGGGCUCACACAAGCGGUGGAGCAUGUGGUUCAAUUCGAAGCAACGCGCAGAACCUUACCUGGGCUUGACAUGCCAGGAUUACCCCGGUGAAAGCCGGGUAGGCCCCGCAAGGGGUACAACUGGUACAGGUGCUGCAUGGCUGUCGUCAGCUCGUGUCGUGAGAUGUCGGGUUAAGUCCCUUAACGAGCGAAACCUUUACCCUUAGUUACCAGCGGGUUACGCCGGGGACUCUAAGGGGACCGCCGGUGUCAAACCGGAGGAAGG
rnacentral:rRNA from 1 species